rnacentral:rRNA from 1 species
AGGAUGAACGCUGGCGGUCUGCUUAACACAUGCAAGUCGAACGGAGUAGCAAUACUUAGUGGCGGACGGGUGAGUAACGCGUGAGAAUCUACCUUCAGGACGGAGACAACAGUUGGAAACGACUGCUAACCCCCGAUGUACCGAAAGGGCAAAUAUUUAUAGCCUGAAGAAGAGCUCGCGUCCGAUUAGCUAGUUGGAGAGGUAAAAGCUCACCAAGGCGACGAUCGGUAGCUGGUCUGAGAGGACGAUCAGCCACACUGGGACUGAGACACGGCCCAGACUCCUACGGGAGGCAGCAGUGGGGAAUUUUCCGCAAUGGGCGAAAGCCUGACGGAGCAAGACCGCGUGGGGGAAGAAGGCUCUUGGGGUUGUAAACCCCCUUUUCUCUGGGAAGAACGCAAUGACGGUACCAGAGGAAUCAGCAUCGGCUAACUCCGUGCCAGCAGCCGC